UACGAAGGAUGCAAGCGUUAUCCGGAUUCAUUGGGUUUAAAGGGUGCGUAGGCGGACUGAUAAGUCAGUGGUGAAAUCUCUCAGCUUAACUGAGAAACUGCCAUUGAUACUGUUAGUCUAGAGUAUAGAUGACGUUGGCGGAAUAUGACAUGUAGUGGUGAAAUACUUAGAUAUGUCAUAGAACACCGAUUGCGAAGGCAGCUAACGAAACUAUAACUGACGCUGAGGCACGAAAGUGCGGGGAUCAAACAGG
rnacentral:rRNA from 1 species